CCGUGGCUCACUAGGCUAAUCCUCCACCUUGCAGUGCCGGCACACCGGGUUCUAGUCCCGGUCGGGGCGCCAGAUUCUGUCCCGGUUGCUCCUCUUCCAGGCCAGCUCUCUGCUGUGGCCAAGGAGUGCAGUGGAGGAUGGCCCAAGUUCUUGGGCCCUGCACCCCAUGGGAGACCAGGAUAAGUACCUGGCUCUUGCCAUCGGAUCAGCGCGGUGCACCAGCUGCAGCGUGCUGGCCGCAGUGGCCAUUGGAGGGUGAACCAAUGGCAAAGGAAGACCUUUCUCUCUCUCUCUCUCUCUCUCUCUCUCACUAUCCACUCUGCCUGUCAAAAAAAAAAAGGAAUAAGAGUUUAUGACCCUUAAAUCUAAGUACUCACCAUAGCCUUCACAAAUUUGGAUUGCAAAUUCUAAAUUAGUUACAGAAUUCUGUCUUAGGCUUGCUGCUCCUCCCAAUACCCAAAACUAUUAACAUCUCCUGACUUCUGUUGAUUCUUUUCCUCUUCUCUCUGCUCCAGCACAAUAUGGCUUCUUAAAUGUCCUAACACCAAUCUCUACAGGCAUAGGGAAGGUAGCUAGAAGAAAUGCACUUGUUUAUCCCAAUUCAUUUAACCUAAGCUUCAAUGGACAGAGCUGGGCCUGUCUGAAGCUAGGAGCCAGCAGCUUCUUCUGGGCACAGGAGACCAAAUGUCUCCCAGACUUGUUUCCAUUACAGAAAAGAUUCCUUUCAUGCUUCAUUUUAUGUUUGCAGGUGAGAAUGCAGCUUUUGCUUUACAAAUACAUCGCUCCUGGUAAGGGCCAAUAAAGGGAGGAAUGGAUAAA